rfam:Oryza barthii chromosome 6, whole genome shotgun sequence.
UUUAAGUGCAACAAUAAGUUUUCAUGUCCAAUUUUAAUUGCCCGUCUUAUUUUUUUUAUGAUUAGUAUUUUUAUUGUUAUUAGAUGAUAAAACAUGAAUAAUACUUUAUGUGUGACUUAUGUUUUUAAUUUUUUUAAAUUAUUUUAAAUAAGAUAAACGAUUAAAGUUAAACAUGGAAAAUCAUGCUUGCACUUAAA